ACCUUAUCCAUCUACUAGUUCUCCGCGAGACUCUGCUCGCCCGAUAUCUCCCGCCCCGCCCCAACCGCCUCCCUGCCAGGUCAGCGCGCCGUCCCUGCCCUGGAGCAGGGCAGCAGACAUUAUGUCUUUUGUAGGUUCGAUCCGGAUGGGACAUUUAUCGAUCCAGAUGGGGCAUUUAGGAUUUGUGUUCAGUUUUCUCAAGUCACUGCCAUGCAUGAUGAUGGACAAGCUAUUGAUGUGCCGCAUAAAUAUGAUAAAUGGGAAGUGGAUUAUCACUAUUACACGCUGGAGAUGUUAUAGAAAGACUUGGCAGCUAGGGUGGAAUUGGGAAGAAGGCAGCAAAUUGUGGUUUCUGAUUUUGAUAUAUCCAGUGGUGGAGAAAGGAAAUUGGUGGAUGAUAAAUCUCUGGCACUCGCUUUGUGAGCAUGAGAGUAGCCCUAUCACUAGAAGCAUUAAGCAAUGUGGAUGAAACCUCUACCUUCAACACUAGUGCUGGUCCCUUCACAAGGAGCCAAAUGGCAUUAAACAUGGAUGGUGGGACAAGUGCUCAAGUAACUCCUGUGAAGAGCGGGAAGAGGAAGAUCUUGGCUACGAAAAAGAAGCUCACUCCCAGGAAGGCAAAGGACUAAGAUUUGCUUCCACCAUGUAGCUUUUGGUGCUCUUGUUUGGCACAUCUAUGUAUGACACUUAAGAUGUUGAAUGUACUUGAACGACACUUAAGAUGUAUCCUGAAUUUGAAUUCACUUGAUGUUGAAUGUCACUCAGAUUGACUACUUCAAGAGUGAAAUAAUUGAUGUUUCCACCUUCUAUU